GAUGAACGCUGGCGGCGUGCCUAAUACAUGCAAGUCGAGCGAACGGACGAGAAGCUUGCUUUUCUGAUGUUAGCGGCGGACGGGUGAGUAACACGUGGAUAACCUACCUAUAAGACUGGGAUAACUUCGGGAAACCGGAGCUAAUACCGGAUAAUAUUUUGAACCGCAUGGUUCAAAAGUGAAAGACGGUCCUGCUGUCACUUAUAGAUGGAUCCGCGCUGCAUUAGCUAGUUGGUAAGGUAACGGCUUACCAAGGCAACGAUGCAUAGCCGACCUGAGAGGGUGAUCGGCCACACUGGAACUGAGACACGGUCCAGACUCCUACGGGAGGCAGCAGUAGGGAAUCUUCCGCAAUGGGCGAAGGCCUGACGGAGCAACGCCGCGUGAGUGAUGAAGGUCUUCGGAUCGUAAAACUCUGUUAUUAGGGAAGAACAUAUGUGUAAGUAACUGUGCACAUCUUGACGGUACCUAAUCAGAAAGCCACGGCUAACUACGUG
rnacentral:rRNA from 1 species